rnacentral:rRNA from 1 species
UAUUCGCUAGGGUACUACGAGCAUAGCUUAAAACCCAAAGGACUUGGCGGUAUCUCACACCCCCCUAGAGGAGCCUGGUCUAUAACCGAUAAUCCACGUUAAACCUUACCACCUCUUGUCUAACCCGCCUAUAUACCACCGUCGUCAGCCUACCCUGUGAAAGCCUAAUAGUAAGCAAAAUGGAUGCACCAAAACGUCAGGUCAAGGUGUAGCAAAUGAGAUGGAAAGAAAUGGGCUACAUUUAUUAAUACAAUACACCCCGAAUGGUAUCAUGGAAUAAAUAUUUAAAGGAGGAUUUAGAAGUAAAAAGAAAAUAGAG